AGUUUGAUUAAAACUAGAGUUGUUACAUCAAUAUUAAGCAUCAUCCUUGUUCAUGUUCUUACUCAGUGCAGAAUAGCGAUCAAGUAGUCUCAAACUGUCAGAAGCAGAUGAUUUGAAUCGAAUUUCUUAACCUUGCAAGGUGGAUCUAAACACAUGACAUAUGCGUACCGUGACGGGUUUACAUAUUAUCAAUAGUUCCCAUCGAUCCCUAGUGCUUGUGCAGAGCCCACUUCCCUUGGAUACAAG
rnacentral:lncRNA from 1 species